AUCCAGCUGACGAGUCCCAAAUCGGACGAAAUGUAUAUGGUGGAU
rfam:Schistosoma haematobium scaffold742_42, whole genome shotgun sequence.